rnacentral:rRNA from 1 species
AGUGGAAGCGUCUGGAAAGGCGCGCGAUACAGGGUGACAGCCCCGUACACAAAAGCGCAUGUGCUGUGAGCUCGAUGAGUAGGGCGGGACACGUGGUAUCCUGUCUGAAUAUGGGGGGACCAUCCUCCAAGGCUAAAUACUCCUGACUGACCGAUAGUGAACCAGUACCGUGAGGGAAAGGCGAAAAGAACCCCGGGAGGGGAGUGAAAAAGAACCUGAAACCGUGUACGUACAAGCAGUGGGAGCCCCACCACCAAAGCAUUCUCUGGUGUUGAAGGCCCUGCAAAGCAGCAUCGCGGUGGCGGAGCGUCGUUUGCGACGCCCAACACACAAAACAAGCGGUGAAUGCUUUGUGGUGGGGUGACUGCGUACCUUUUGUAUAAUGGGUCAGCGACUUAUAUUCUGUAGCAAGGUUAACCGAAUAGGGGAGCCGGAGGGAAACCGAGUCUUAAUUGGGCGUUAAGUUGCAGGGUA